UGCAUAAAAUGUAUUUUUAAAAUUUUCUAAAUUAUUGUUAGUUCCUUAUGGGAAAAAUGCAAUGAAAUAUUUAGAAUACAGAAACAAAAGUAGAAGAAGGGUUUAUAUGAGAGAGGCAUAACGACAAUCUGCCUAUGGCUAUUCGACUAUUUAUCUAAGAGGGGAUUAACAAAAGUUCGGUCAAUUGACUAAAAUGGGGACGCGAGAUAGCUGAGUAAUUUAUUGCCAAAUUUUACAAGGAACAAUUGCACCGUCUUUACAGACGAUUUCUACGUGGUUCCGAAGUUUCUAUAUCGGACAUUUUUCCGUAGAGGGCGAACACCGAAAAGGUUGGCCAAAAUAUUUCACUUAAGACGUCAUUGUUGCUUUUGUGAAGUCCAAAAUUGACGAAGACCCACCAAUGACAACAGAAAUGAUUGCUAAUGAGUUGGGCUUGAAUGACAUGGGUGUAUCGCGAAGUUUGAAAUGAGGGCCCAAAAAGAGGCUGGAGUGCAUUUUGCUCAAUUUUUCGUAAACAAAUUUGAAAAAGGUCAGUCUAGCAAAUUUGGUUAAGUCGUUACUGAUGACGAAUCUUGGUUCGAUAAGUACGAUCCGGAAACGAAACAGCAGUCCAUGGUGUGGAGCCAAACACGAGCAAACCUACCCUUAAAAUCUAGGCAACAAAACUCAGCCGCAAAGUAAUGAUGUCAGUUUACUUUGCCCCCAUCUGAAAUCGUAGCUACCAUUCCACUGGAAUAGGGUCAGACGGUAACUGCGAAAUGGUACACCAAAGAGCGCUUACCAAAAGCUUUCAAAAAUUUGUUGGAAAACAGGGAGAAAGAGCAUUUGCGGCGCUUCCUUUUACAUCGUAACAACACGUCAGAAGAGAGAGUGGGACUCUGCUGAAAUAACGAAUAUUUUUAUUGCGAUCUCUGGGAUCGAAGAAAUACGUCCAGUACCAUAUUCUCCGAAUAUAGCACCAUGUGAGUUCUAUUUAUUACCAAAAAGUAUGCAAAUCCGCCGAGAAAAAUCUUUAAUAGCAACAACAGCAAAAUCUUUAAUAGA